rnacentral:rRNA from 1 species
UCUGGCGUCUCCGAGAGGCAGCAGUAAAGAAUUUUGUGCAAUAUAUGAAGGUAAGACACAGAGAGGGCACCUUGCCUAGUCCGUCAAAUUAAGUGCCAGCAGACGCGGUGAAACUUAAGGGCUAGUUUUGUGGGCAAAAGCGUAAAGGGUGUGAUAGGCCGUUUUAAUUAAAAAGGGUUUUAUAAUUUAAGAAGGUAAAUGGAAUUUUUUUGUAGCGGUGGAAUGUGUAAAUAGAAAAAAGAACUUUAGACGUGAAGACUAUUUAUUUUUGAGAUUAUAGUGUGAUGGCUAAAACACGAGAGUAUGGGGAGCAAACAGGAUUAGGGACCCUGGUAGUCUAUACUGUAAAUAAUGAAAAAGAUGUGAAGCAAUCCUAAAAAGUCAGAAAUUUUCCGCUUGAGUAGUACGACCGCAAGGUUAAAAUUCAAAAAACUUGGCUGUUCACUGUUUUAAUUAGAGGAGCGUGUCGUUUAAUUCGAUAGUCCGCGAGAGACCUUACCCAAACUUGAAUCCUUCAUUGACAGGUAUUGCAUGGCCGUCGUCAAUUUGUGUAUUAAACAUAAAACAGAUUUAACCCAGUGGUUUGUCACUUGGAUGAAGUCAGGUCUUAUUGUCCUAAUGUUUGGGGAUUAGAUGCGCUACAUUUUUUUAUACAAUAGGAAACUUUGAGUGUGAAACCUGAAAAUAAGAGUUCGGAAAGUGCCUGGAAGAUAACGGAAAGUUGUAUUUAAUAGUAAUUGAAAAGUAGAGCGUUUCAAUGAAAUUUUUUUCAGUGUUAGUACAAAUUGCCCGUCGCCUUUGCUUAGACAGGUUGGGUUGAUUGCCCCUCAAGAGGGUUUCUAAUACCUCCGAGGCAGAGUAAGUCGUAACAUAGUGAGAGAGGGGGAGCACACACA